rnacentral:lncRNA from 1 species
GAAACGCACAGGAAGUUGAGAAGCACGUCAUGAAGUUUGCCCCGAAUGGAGAUUUGGGACCAAGAGGAAUAGUCCUAUCAGUGGAAAAGGCGAAAAGCUGUUGGCAAAAAGGGAAAUCUCUGUGCCUUCAUAGAGAGAUACACCAGUGCCAGAGGACAAGCCCAGCUUCCCAGCACACCCCAAAAGGCUGCGUGGUUGCCCACCAGAACAUAAGCUCCAGCAACAGUAAAGGAGGAUUUCCAGGAGCUGAAGGUGAACUGGUGGUGGGAGGUUUCCUUUCCCGUCUCAGAACCUGAGUGCCUGCCUUGCAUUUUCUGGGGUCACCAGUUUCACAGGCACCUUUGACACAGCCCCUUUUACAAACGGCCUUCACAAAAUGUUUUACAGCACCUUAGAAAAUCCAUCAGCCAGCUGUAAUGGGGCUGCUUUUCAGAAAUGCUGAAUAUUGCAAAAGCUCAAUGAAACUCAGCGGACCCGAAGACGCUUCACACCUCUGGAAAUAUCAGAUCUAUUGUGUCUGAUUAAGAAAUGACCUGACCCAAAAGCAUAUUGCCCGUAGCUGACUUAAACAUUACAGAGUUUUUGCAGAAGCCUAGUUAAGAUCCAUGGAAAUGCAGAGUUUGCUCUCCAGGUCCUGGGUACCUGCAGCAUCCUGGAUAGCUGGAUGGGUAACUGGAUGGACAUCUGAGAAACCAAAACAUUUUGGUUUUUUUAUGCUAACUGAAAAGAAAGAAAACCUUCGUUUUAGAGGGCCUGGGGGACUCCAUAGGUAUAACCCUCAUUUCCUAUGUCACAAAAGGGGCUACUGGAGUUAUUUAGCUCCUCUUUAGAAGUUACCACACCCCAAGUGUUGGAAAUACAGAUGCAACAGGCAGAGCUGAAGUGAAAUGGUUUGGAUCCUAAUUCCAAGUCUGUAUAAUUCCACUGGAAUUACUCCUAAUUUAAUAACAGUGUAAAAAUGCCACAGUGAAGUCAGAGCUUCCCAGGCACAAGAUAAUUUUCUUCUAUGAAUUAUGUGAGUGCCCUGCAGGGUUCAAUGUCAGGUAUGUUUAAUUAGGGAUUUUUCUGAUCACAUAGGAAGUGUGUUGAGAUUUGCUUAAUGGACAAGUAGAAAUAGAUAGGAAUGACUCCAUUUUUUCCUUCUCACUAAGUUAAACGUUACAUACAACUGUUGGUCUGUGUGUUUGCAUGCACAUACACCCAGGCAAUUUUCCUAUGACCUCACCAUUCUGUAGGUGAUUUGCUCCAGAUGAACUGUGGAAUAUGUAGUAGUGAAAUCAGAUGCUCUUCCC